rnacentral:rRNA from 1 species
UGCAGUCGAGCGGACCGACGGGAGCUUGCUCCCUUAGGUCAGCGGCGGACGGGUGAGUAACACGUGGGUAACCUGCCUGUAAGACUGGGAUAACUCCGGGAAACCGGGGCUAAUACCGGAUGCUUGAUUGAACCGCAUGGUUCAAUCAUGAAAGGCGGCUUCGGCUGCCGUUUACAGAUGGACCCGCGGCGCAUUAGCUAGUUGGUGAGGUAACGGCUCACCAAGGCGACGAUGCGUAGCCGACCUGAGAGGGUGAUCGGCCACACUGGGACUGAGACACGGCCCAGACUCCUACGGGAGGCAGCAGUAGGGAAUCUUCCGCAAUGGACGAAAGUCUGACGGAGCAACGCCGCGUGAGUGAUGAAGGUUUUCGGAUCGUAAAGCUCUGUUGUUAGGGAAGAACAAGUACCGUUCGAAUAGGGCGGUACCUUGACGGUACCUAACCAGAAAGCCACGGCUAACUACGUGCCAGCAGCCGCGGUAAUACGUAGGUGGCAAGCGUUGUCCGGAAUUAUUGGGCGUAAAGCGCGCGCAGGCGGUUUCUUAAGUCUGAUGUGAAAGCCCCCGGCUCAACCGGGGAGGGUCAUUGGAAACUGGGGAACUUGAGUGCAGAAGAGGAGAGUGGAAUUCCACGUGUAGCGGUGAAAUGCGUAGAGAUGUGGAGGAACACCAGUGGCGAAGGCGACUCUCUGGUCUGUA